rnacentral:tRNA from 1 species
GCGGCUGUAAUCUAGCGGUAGGAUACAACCCUCCCAUUUGAGCAGAAGAUAGGUUGGUACCCGGGUUCGAAUCCCGGCAGCCGCA